rnacentral:lncRNA from 1 species
AGGGGGGGUGAAUUGGAUUUUAAAAAUUUUAGGCUUAACUAAUUACUUGUAAAAAUUAUAUAUCAAAAGCUUGAUGAAUGAGGAGAGAGACUUUAGUUUGAGAUUAAUUACUUAAAACAAGAAUGCAAGGAUAUAAUGGAGAAUUAAAGAGAAACAAUAAAGCAUGCCACAAACACAAUGAUUUAUAGUGGUUCGGUGCCAACCUUGCACCUACAUCCACUCUCCAAGCUCCUACUUGGGAAUUCCAAUCCACUAUACUUUGUAUUCAA